GUGAAAGUUUCCAGAUUGAUAAUAACUUUUAUUUAAAAAAAAUGCAUCGUCUUUUUUAGUCAUGUACAUUGAAUUACUUCAGUAAUUAAAACUAUAUCGUUACCUUCAUAAAGAUUUUGUCCGGGCUUUGGAUGUAGUGAAGGAUAUCCUUUAUCUUUUGACACGCGCAAGCGUAGAAAUACCCUGCAAUAUAACCAAAGUUGUUCCCUUAUAAGCCAAUUCUUGCAUAUUUGAUUGCUAUACAAUUUAGUAUAGAUGACAUAUAUUUAUCACUUAUAUUUACUGAGACCGAGGGAAACAGUGUGUUUUGUGGACCGGCACCGCCGUUGUUACAACAGGGACCUUUAGAUAGCAGGACGGCGACGGCUAUUAAUACAAUGAAAUUUAUGACAGUGUAGAAAGAAAAUGCAUAAUUAAAGGUCCCAUGGGAGUUUUAGACGUCGUCCUUGCUCUGUUUACAACAGCAAACCAAAGAUUUUCACGUUGUGUAUACAACGUUUGCCUUUCAAGCCGCGAGAAGUCGUCCUCGCCAAAUUGGCUUAGUAAAAGUCUUCUCAACUAUAAACCUCUGUCUUAACCUUCUUAAAUUGCAAUAAAUUCAUACAACGGAUAAUACAAGACAUGUUGAUCUUAAAGUUACUUAUUCGAACGAGUUUAUUUUGAUUUUUGGCCGUCGUCGUCGCGUUGCCGUCACCUAUUUGCUAAAGGUCCCUACUGUUGUAACAACGGCGGUCGAGGCCACAAAACACACUGUUUCCCGAGGUCUCAGUAUAAAUAAGUGUUUUGUUAUUUUGUAUAUAAGUGUCAAAGUAUGAAUAAUUCACCGGUUAUUGGAAUGAAGUUAAUUUGAAACCAAAACUGGAUAAAUGUGGAACUUCAUGGUUGACACGCAUGCGUAUUACACCCAUUUUAUUAUUGACCGGUCAAUAAAUGUUUGAUUGCGGACCGGUUGCCGAACAUGACGUUUUGUGGACCGGCACGUGACACGGUUUUGACCAAUCGGCAAACAGAAAAAUUGAACUUUGACACUAUUAAUGGAACAAUUGCUCUCCUGCCAGCUAACUGAGCUAAGAAUUAAGAAUAGACACAUACAGCUUUUGUGUGGGAGAAUGGGUUAUGGGGGUGAAGUACUCCUGUUACAAUAAGUAUCACAUUAUAUGUAUAUUUAACCCAAUAGAUUCUUUAUGGCCUUAUAUUUCAUCCUGCGGGGUAUAUAUAAGGCCCGCUCUGAUAACCCUAGGGGUAAUGGUCCCUAGGGCUGCCCUGGGGGUAAGGGUCCCCAGAGCUGCUCUGGGGGUAAGGGUCCCCAGAGCACAUGCCAGAAGGGUAGCGACCCCCUCUGACCUUAUUAACCUGAACCAAGGGGUAAGGGGCCCUUGGACAGUUCCUAUAACUCGGCCGAUUAUAUUUACAUUGAAUGAGUCUAUGGGCAUGAAGGUGACCUUUGGGAGCACUUCAACCCCAAACCAUUAAAUAUUUUAUUGCAAUAACUUCAAUAAUUGAUAACAACAAUUAUUAAUGCUCUACUGUUUUUUAUCAAUAUAUAUUUAUAUAUAUAAUAUGAUAUAAUACAUUAUGCCCGUGACAGUGUACUCCAGUGAUGGUGUUAUCUCCAAUAAUAGUGUUCUCCUUUGGUAGCGAUUUCCAGUAAUAGUGAUCUCCAAUAAUGUUCUUCCAUGAUAGUGUUCACUAUAGGUGUUUUCUGUAAUCCCUUAGGAGAAGUGGUGGGUGGGUGGGAAAAUGUUACAGUAGCUUUGGAACAUUACUUUGUUAAGACUUUGAAACAAGUGAUCUCUUUCAGGUGUAUUUGGUCUAUUUUACCGGCUUAACCGAAUUAUGAUUGGUUACAUGUUUUGAUGCCAUCAAAGAUAUAUUUCGAUUGGCUGAAAGAUAAUUGGUCAUGAGAUGUGCACGUGUACGCUUUGCCAAUACAAAGAUGACCUUUGAUACAAAUGACAGCUGCGGGUCUGUGACCUUUGUACCGCACGCAAAAUAUUCAAAUCGAUUGUCAUAUAAAUUAGACUAAAUUUGUGGACAGCAUUGCCCAUUAACUUAAAUUUAUAAUAUAUAUAAAUCAGCUUUAAUGCAACAAUUGCUCUCCUGCCAGCUAACUGAGCUAAGAAUUAAGAAUAGACACAUACAGCUUUUGUGUGGGAGAAUGGGUUAUGGGGGUGAAGUACUCCUAUUACAAUAAGUGUCACAUUAUAUGUAUAUUUAACCCAAUAGACUCUUUAUGGCCUUAUAUUUCAUCCUGCGGGGUAUAUAUAAGGCCCGCUCUGAUAACCCUAGGGGUAAUGGUCCCUAGGGCUGCCCUGGGGGUAAAGGUCCCCAGAGCUGCUCUGGGGGUAAGGGUCCCCAGAGCACAUGCCAGAAGGGUAGCGACCCCCCUCUGAUCUUAUUAACCUGAACCAAGGGAUAAGGGUCCCUUGGACAGUUCCUAUAACUCGGCCGAUUAUAUUUACAUUGAAUGAGUCUAUGGGCAUGAAGGUGACCUUGGGAGCACUUCAACCCCACAAAUACAAUAAAGUGUAUCUGACACUUGAGUGUAUUCCCCAUCGACGAACAAUCCCACUCCCACAACAGCUGUAUUCAUAUAGAGGACAGCUUUUGCCAGAUGAUAGUAAGGCUUGUGCAUGUUUGAGAAUUACCAUCGCUUAUACUACAGCUGGAUAGUCAGGGAGGCCAGGAAAAACCUGCAAUACAGGCAACCUGAAUGGGGCCAAGACAAUUAACCAGCAGCUUCCCCACAAAGCUUCUAUGUUACAACUUCUCAAUAGGAGCGUUGGUAACGCGACAAACAUAGCUCUAUCUUGGCAAUUUUUUUUUUAUUUUAAUUUUUUUUACAUUAAUUUAUUCUUUCACUCAGUUUUAAGUGUUUUUGAAGAGACCCUAUAUUUGCCGAACUCUUUGUCUAUCCAAAUCGUUUGCUUGGUGAAGUAACUAAUUAAUUAAGCAUAGAGGAUUAGAGCGUUUCCAGUUGAGACAUAAAUCUUGGAAUAGAGCCUAUGUUGGCAUAAAACUUUAUUACACUUCCCGAAUGAGAAAGUUUAUUAAUUAAAAUACCGUUUGUCUGUUUUCCGGUCGAGAAAACGAUGGUGAAAUGGCAGUCGCGUUUAAUGCAGUGGACGAUAACAGACAGAACAUAUUUUUGACUUUUUUGUUUAAUAUUGUUGCAGUUUGCUUGAAUUUUUCAACGUAUCAUAAAGGAAAGUAUUCGUAUAAUACAGUUUCUUGGUUUAUUCGGUAUUGCAUUGGUUGGGUCCUCGCCUGUCUACACUACAGACCAGUUUUGAAUUAUUUGAAAUCCUUAGUUUUAUUAUACAGAUAUGAAAUUGGCAACAAUGUUGAUUGUUUAUACUGUAUUAUCAUUGUGUUUCCCUCCCAGAUCGAAAGCGUUGCAAUACUGAUAAAUAAAAUAUAUAUACACAGUGCCAGUCAGUGGUCUUAUUUUACCUUUCAUUAUAAACAUAUCCAAGCUUUUACAGUCUAUAUAAACUAUAGACAUAGUAAAACACACAUGACAUUGUUAUUGAAUAUUGAGUAUUGUGUCUAUUGAGUAUUGACUGAUUUUAUAUAUCGGCAUCGUGAUUUUUAGAGUACAGUACAUCGUCAAUAUAUACAACUGUCUCUACUGUAUUUUCUUCAAGAAAAGAAAAUUCAACCGCAACGCAAAACAACAUUGAAUUAUUAAAGUAUACUAUGACGUAUAUAGAUAGUAGCGCUAUAUAAUUAUGAUAUUACAGCACUGGAGAUGCCAUGUAGCCUAUCACUGUCUCCGUUUCAUAGCUGGUCUAAAUUGUAUUGGUAGCAAUAGCUAAAUUUUUGCCCUCGAGAAAGAGCAAUAUUGCUGAUGUGACUGCUCUCAUAUUCCAGGCAUCACACUGUCGUUAUUUUGAGGGAAGUGUGAACGCCUGAGCAGGCGUCUUGUUCCAUUGAAAAGCACAAAGGCGUCAAAGGUUGACCAAACUCUGGGUACGAGGUUGGGUGGAAAUUAAGUUCAAACUCAGUUGAAACAGAAUUAUAGCUAGAUUAUAUAGUAAUAGUAUCUUAUAGGUAAACAAACAUAAUAUAUGAUAUAUAGUGCCAAAUGGCAAAUGUGUGUAAAAACUGACUUUCGAGUUAUUAUUUUAAAUUAAAAUGCUCCCAAAUCAUCCAUCUACAUAGCGUGGAAAUUUAUAAUUACUAUUUCUUGCAUAUAUGGGCUCUCUUUCUAAGCCUUUGCUCAGUUAUACGUUAUGUAGUUCAAACCACUACUGGAUUUUAACAAAAGGAAUUAUAAAAUUAGGUUAGGAUGAAAACGCAUUCCCAAUAUACAAUGAGUACUCUAACAUUGAUUGCGCUUAAACUUUGAACUUUGAGUCGAUUCGAAGAUCAAAUUCACAGUGAAAUAUAACUCUAUUGGAUUACAAACAGAAAAUAUAUCGUUCUGGCAAAUGUUAGCCUAUGCCAGAAUUUUAUACCAGAUCGAAUUUUACAAUUUUUUGCUUGGUUUUAAACGAAAUCUGAAGCAAACUUUUACUUACGAUACCCGUAAUUGACAAGCGCGCAAACAUGAUAUGAUAUUGCAUACGGACCAGCUGUAGUGCGCUUGGCGACUCGUUCUUUUAUAAUUCCCCAGCGCCAGCUUCUGUUUCUGUUACUGCUAAACGUCGAAUUGUCACUAUACUUGAACGAAUCUGGCAACAUAUUCCUUUGACCAUUGUCAAUGAGAAAAAUAUAAAAUACACGUGCUUGCGCCGUUGAAUACUGUUUGCCAUAAGUUCAUAACGUCUCACUUUAACCACUUUAACCUACGCUACAUAUAUCGUAAUAUCGAUUCCAACAUCAAAUCCAUCUUUGUAGUGUUAAAUCGUGUUAUUCAAUUCUUGCGAUGCCCCGCGCAAUUCUUGAUCAUCCGAGGUAGUUAAAUUUUCAUUUCGCCCGCGGUUUAUCUGAAAAUGUUACAGUAGCUUUGGAACAUUACUUUGUUAAGACUUUGAAACAAGUGAUCUCUUUCAGGUGUAUUUGGUCUAUUUUACCGGCUUAACCGAAUUAUGAUUGGUUACAUGUUUUGAU
rnacentral:lncRNA from 1 species